UUCCGGUUGAUCCCGCCGGACCCGACUGCUAUCAGAGUGGGACUAAGCCAUGCGAGUCAACAUAGCAAUAUGUGGCAUACGGCUCAGUAACACGUAGUCAACAUGCCCAGGGGACGUGGAUAACCUCGGGAAACUGAGGAUAAACCGCGAUAGGUCAUUUCUUCUGGAAUGGGUAAUGACCCAAAUCUACAUGGCCCCUGGAUUGGACUGCGGCCGAUCAGGCUGUUGGUGAGGUAAUGGCCCACCAAACCUGUAACCGGUACGGGCUCUGAGAGGAGGAGCCCGGAGAUGGGCACUGAGACAAGGGCCCAGGCCCUAUGGGGCGCAGCAGGCGCGAAACCUCUGCAAUAGGCGAAAGCUUGACAGGGUUACUCUGAGUGAUUUCCGUUAAGGAGAUCUCUUGGCACCUCUAAAGAUGGUGCAGAAUAAGGGGUGGGCAAGUCUGGUGUCAGCCGCCGCGGUAAUACCAGCACCCCGAGUGGUCGGGACGUUUAUUGGGCCUAAAGCAUCCGUAGCCGGUUCUACAAGUCUUCCGUUAAAUCCACCUGCUUAACAGAUGGGCUGCGGAAGAUACUAUAGAGCUAGGAGGCGGGAGAGGCAAGCGGUACUCGAUGGGUAGGGGUAAAAUCCGUUGAUCCAUUGAAGACCACCAGUGGCGAAGGCGGCUUGCCAGAACGCGCUCGACGGUGAGGGAUGAAAGCUGGGGGAGCAAACCGGAUUAGAUACCCGGGUAGUCCCAGCUGUAAACGAUGCAGACUCGGUGAUGAGUUGGCUUAUUGCUAACUCAGUGCCGCAGGGAAGCCGUUAAGUUUGCCGCCUGGGGAGUACGGUCGCAAGACUGAAACUUAAAGGAAUUGGCGGGGGAGCACCACAAGGGGUGAAGCCUGCGGUUCAAUUGGAUUCAACGCCGGG
rnacentral:rRNA from 1 species